rnacentral:rRNA from 1 species
GGUUGAUCCUGCCAGUAGUCAUAUGCUCAUUUUGAAGACUAAGCCAUGCAUGUCUAAGUAUAAAUUGUUAUACAAUAAAACUGCGAAAAGCUCAUUAAAACAAUUACAGUCUAUGUGGGCAUAAUUACUACACGGAUACCUGUGGUAAUUCUGGAGCUAAUACGUGAUUUAACAUUCGCUUGAGUGUCACUUAUUAGAUUAGAACCAACCUAUGCUUGCAUAGAGAUCUGGUGAUCCAUAAUAAGGUCGUGAAUCGCAUGGCUAACGCUGGUGAUAUUUCACCUGAGUUUUU